rnacentral:rRNA from 1 species
GACGAACGCUGGCGGCGUGCUUAACUCAUGCGAGUCGAACGGAAAGGCCCUGCUUUUGUGGGGUGCUCGAGUGGCGAACGGGUGAGUAACACGUGAGUAACCUGCCCUUGACUUUGGGAUAACUUCAGGAAACUGGGGCUAAUACCGGAUAGGAGCUCCUGCUGCAUGGUGGGGGUUGGAAAGUUUCGGCGGUUGGGGAUGGACUCGCGGCUUAUCAGCUUGUUGGUGGGGUAGUGGCUUACCAAGGCUUUGACGGGUAGCCGGCCUGAGAGGGUGACCGGCCACAUUGGGACUGAGAUACGGCCCAGACUCCUACGGGAGGCAGCAGUGGGGAAUAUUGCACAAUGGGCGGAAGCCUGAUGCAGCAACGCCGCGUGCGGGAUGACGGCCUUCGGGUUGUAAACCGCUUUCGCCUGUGACGAAGCGUGAGUGACGGUAAUGGGUAAAGAAGCACCGGCUAACUACGUG